GAUCCUGGCUCAGGACGAACGCUGGCGGCGUGCUUAACACAUGCAAGUCGAACGGAAAGGCCCUGCUUUUGUGGGGUGCUCGAGUGGCGAACGGGUGAGUAACACGUGAGUAACCUGCCCUUGACUUUGGGAUAACUUCAGGAAACUGGGGCUAAUACCGGAUAGGAGCUCCUGCUGCAUGGUGGGGGUUGGAAAGUUUCGGCGGUUGGGGGAUGGACUCGCGGCUUAUCAGCUUGUUGGUGGGGUAGUGGCUUACCAAGGU
rnacentral:rRNA from 1 species